GUCCUCCUUGUCAUGGGGAGCAUAAUAUCCAAUGAGCGUUUAGUGAGGGUAUUUAUGCUGACACCAUACAAACAUAUUCCCCCGUACGACGAAUUCCACACGUUGUGUGGUUGCACUCGUUCGGAAUUUUUGGAAAG